GACGAACGCUGGCGGCGGGCUUAACACAUGCAAGUCGAACGGAAAGGCCCUGCUUUUGUGGGGUGCUCGAGUGGCGAACGGGUGAGUAACACGUGAGUAACCUGCCCUUGACUGUGGGAUAACUUCAGGAAACUGGGGCUAAUACCGGAUAGGAGCUCCUGCUGCAUGGGGGGGGUUGGAAAGUUUCGGCGGGUGGGGCUGGACGCGCGGCUUAUCAGCUUGUUGGGGGAGUAGUGGCUUACCAAGGGUUUGGCGGCUAGCCGGCCUGGGAGGGUGACCAGCGACAUUGGGCCUGAGGUACGGCCCAGACUCCAACGGGAGGCAGCAGGGGGGAAUAUUACCCAAUGGGCGGAAGCCUGAUGCAGCAACGCCGCGUGCGGGAUGACGGCCUUCGGGUUGUAAACCGCUUUCGCCUGUGACGAAGCGUGAGUGACGGUAAUGGGUAAAGAAGCACCGGCUAACUACGUG
rnacentral:rRNA from 1 species